rnacentral:tRNA from 1 species
UCUCUGGUGGUCCAGUGGCUAAGACUGCAUUACUAAUGCAGAGGGCCCAGGUUCAACCCCUGGUCAGAGAA